rnacentral:rRNA from 1 species
UGGGGAAUAUUGCACAAUGGGCGCAAGCCUGAUGCAGCCAUGCCGCGUGUGUGAAGAAGGCCUUCGGGUUGUAAAGCACUUUCAGCGGGGAGGAAGGCGUUAAGGUUAAUAACCUUGGCGAUUGACGUUACCCGCAGAAGAAGCACCGGCUAACUCCGUGCCAGCAGCCGCGGUAAUACGGAGGGUGCAAGCGUUAAUCGGAAUUACUGGGCGUAAAGCGCACGCAGGCGGUCUGUCAAGUCGGAUGUGAAAUCCCCGGGCUCAACCUGGGAACUGCAUUCGAAACUGGCAGGCUAGAGUCUUGUAGAGGGGGGUAGAAUUCCAGGAGUAGCGGUGAAAUGCGUAGAGAUCUGGAGGAAUACCGGUGGCGAAGGCGGCCCCCUGGACGAAGACUGACGCUCAGGUGCGAAAGCGUGGGGAGCAAACAGG